AACACCGCGAGGGUCCGCGGCUUUAUUCUUGAAGUCAGUGAGACCAAGAACCCACCAGUUCCGGACACAAUACUUUUCACACUGCAUGAUGAAGAAAUUUAGCUUUAUUGUUAGGCAUUGUGGCUCUGGAGACCUGGAAGCACUGCUAACUGUUCUCUCGAUUUUCUGACGCUCGGCCACAUCAACCUGUCAUACUAGUUGUGAGGAGAAGUCAAGGACAGUGACACAGCCAGCCAGUCUGAGGCAUUUUCCAUCAUCCUGAAGGAGUUGCCCUAUCCUGCUUUUCACUGGAGGGGGCAUGGAUGGAUCUGGAAUGUAUAAUUGGAGUAGACAUUCUCAGCAGCUGGCGGAAACCCCGCAUUGGUUCCAUGACAUGUGGAAUGAAGGCUACGAUGGUAGGAAAAGAUAAGUGGAAGCUGCUAAAACUGCAUUUACCUUGAAAAAUAUUAAACACAAAGAAACACUACAUUCCUGGAAAGACUGCACCAUCAAGGACUUGAAAGACUCAGGGACGGGGUGAUUCUUAUGUUCUCACUCAACUUGCCUGUGCGGGAGUCAGAUGAAUCUUGGAGAAUGACAGUGGAUUAUUAUAAGCUUAACUAGGUGAUGACUCCAAUUGCAGCUGCUGUACUGGAUGUGGUUUCAUUGCUCGAGCAAGUUAAUACAUCCCCUGGUACCUAGUAUGCAGCUAUUGAUCUAGCAAAUGCCUUUUUCUCCUUACCUCUCAAUAAGAACAACCAGAAUCAGUUUGCUUUUAGCUAGUAAGGUCAGCAAUAUAGCUUCACUGUGCUGCAUCAGGGGUAUGUUAAUUCUCUACCACUAUGUCAUAAUUUAGUUUGCAGGAAUCUUUAUCACCUUUCCCUUCCAAAAGAUAUCACACUAGUCUAUUACACUGGUGACAUGAUGCUGAUUUGACGUAGUGAGCAAGAAGUAGCAACUACUCUAUAGUUAUUGGUAAGACAUUUGCAUGUCAGAGAAUGAAUUUUCAAGAAAAUUCAGUGAAAUUUCUAGGGGUCAGUAUGUGGAGCAUGUGAGAUAUUACUUCUAAGGUAAAGGAUAAGUUGAUGUAUUUGCCUCACCUUCAACCAUAAAAGAGGAACAAUGCCUAGUGGGCCUCUUUGGAUUCUGGAGGCAACAUACUCCUUAUUUGAGUGUGUUACUCUAGUCCAUUUACUGAGUAAACUGCUUUUCACUAGUUUUCAGUGAGGCCCAGAACAAGAAGAGACUCUGCAACAAGUCUAGGCUGCUGUGCAAGCUGCUCUGUCACUUGGGCCUUAUGAUCCGGUAGAUCCAAUGGUGCUUGAAGUGUCAGUGGUAGACAGGGAUGCUGUCUGGAGCCUUUGAUGGGCCCCCUAUUGGUGAAUCACAGUGCGGAUCCUUAGGAUUUUGGAACAAAGCCCUGAUAUCUUCUGUGGAUAACUACUCUCCUUUUGAGAAACAGUUCUUAGUUUGCUACUGGGCCUUAGUAGAGACUUAAUACUUAACUAUGCACUACUAAGUUACUAUUUGACCUGAGCUUCCCACCAUGAACUGAGUGUUGUCUUACUCGCAAAGCCAUGAAGUUGGGCAUGCACAGCAGCACUCCAUCAUCAAAUGGAAGUACUUUGUAUGAGAUUAGGUCAAAUCAGGCUCUUGGCACAAGUAAGUUACAUGAAAAGAAGGGGCCUAAUUGUCAUGGCACCCACUCCUAUUACAGGACCUUCUCUCUCCCGCCUGCUUCUGUGGCCUCACAGGGGAGCUCCUUGUGAUCAGUUGAUAGAGGAAAAAAGACUCAGGCCUGAUUUACAGAAGAUUCUGCAUGAUAUACAGCUACCACCUGAAAGUGGGCAGCUGCAGAACUGCAGACCUUCUCUGAAACAUUCCUCAAGGACAAUGGUGAAGAAAAAUCCUUCCAGUAGGCAGAACUUCAAGCAGUGCACCUGAUUGUUCACUUUGCUUGGGAGAAAAGGUAGGACAUGUGACUGUACACUGAUUCAUGGACUGUGGCCAAUGGUUUGGUAGAUGGUCAAGGACUUGAAAGGAACAUGACUGGAAUAUUGGUGAGAAGGAAAUUUGGGGAAGAAGUAUGUGGAUAGAUCUCUCUCAAUGGGCAAAAAACCAUGAAGAUAUUUGUGUCCCAUGUAAAUAUUUACAAAAGGAUAACCUCAGCAGAGGAAGACUGUAAUAAUAAAGUGGAUAGAAUAGCCCAUUCUGUAGCUACCACUCAGCUUCUUUCUCCAGCCAACCCUGUUCAUUGCCCAAUGGGCUCAUGAACAAAGUGGCCAUUGUGGCAAAAAAGGGGGGUUAUGCAUAGGCUCAGCGACAUAGACUCCUACUCACCAAGACCAACCUGGCUACAGCCACCACUGAGUUCUUAAUCUGCUAGAAGCAGAAACCAACACCGAGUCCCUAAUAUGGCACCAAUCCUCAUGGUGGCCAGCCAGCUCCUGGGUGGCAGGUUGAUUAUAUUGGACUGCUUCCAUCAUGGAAGAGACAGCAGUUUGUCCUCACUGAAAUAGAUAUUUACACUGGAUAUACAUUUUUCUUCCUGCACACAAUGCUUCUCCCAAAACUACCAUCCAUGGACUUACGGAAUGCUUUAUCCACCAUCUUGGUAUUCCACACAGCAUUGCUUCUGACUAAGGAACUUACUUCACUGCCAAAGAAGCAUGGCAAUGGGUAUAUGCUCAUGGAAUUCCCUGGUCUUACCAUGUUUCCUGCCAUCCUAUAGCUGCUGGCUUGAUAGAGUGGUGGAAUGGUUUUUUGAAAUCACAGUUGUAAUUCCAGCACUUUGGGAGGCUGAGGUGGGUGGAUCACCUGAGGUCAGGAGUU
rnacentral:lncRNA from 1 species